GUGGGGAAUUUUGGACAAUGGGGGCAACCCUGAUCCAGCAAUGUCGCGUGCAGGAAGAAGGCCUUCGGGUUGUAAACUGCUUUUGUACGGAACGAAAAGGCUCUGGUUAAUACCUGGGGCACAUGACGGUACCGUAAGAAUAAGCACCGGCUAACUACGUGCCAGCAGCCGCGGUAAUACGUAGGGUGCAAGCGUUAAUCGGAAUUACUGGGCGUAAAGCGUGCGCAGGCGGUGCUGUAAGACAGGCGUGAAAUCCCCGGGCUUAACCUGGGAAUGGCGCUUGUGACUGCAGUGCUGGAGUGUGGCAGAGGGGGAUGGAAUUCCGCGUGUAGCAGUGAAAUGCGUAGAUAUGCGGAGGAACACCGAUGGCGAAGGCAAUCCCCUGGGCCUGCACUGACGCUCAUGCACGAAAGCGUGGGGAGCAAACAGGAUUAGAUACCCCAGUAGUCC
rnacentral:rRNA from 1 species